GACGAACGCUGGCGGCGUGCCUAAUACAUGCAAGUUGAGCGAUGAAGAUUGGUGCUUGCCCCAAUUUGAAGAGCAGCGAACGGGUGAGUAACGCGUGGGGAAUCUGCCUUUGAGCGGGGGACAACAUUUGGAAACGAAUGCUAAUACCGCAUAACAACUUUAAACAUAAGUUUUAAGUUUGAAAGAUGCAAUUGCAUCACUCAAAGAUGAUCCCGCGUUGUAUUAGCUAGUUGGUGAGGUAAAGGCUCACCAAGGCGUUGAUACAUAGCCGACCUGAGAGGGUGAUCGGCCACAUUGGGACUGAGACACGGCCCAAACUCCUACGGGAGGCAGCAGUAGGGAAUCUUCGGCAAUGGACGAAAGUCUGACCGAGCAACGCCGCGUGAGUGAAGAAGGUUUUCGGAUCGUAAAACUCUGUUGGUAGAGAAGAACGUUGGUGAGAGUGGAAAGCUCAUCAAGUGACGGUAACUACCCAGAAAGGGACGGCUAAAUACGUG
rnacentral:rRNA from 1 species